UGGAUCCCUCCGAUCAGUCGGUUGUGAGGUAACGGCUCACCCAACCCGUAUUCGGUACUGGUAGUGAGGGCAGCACGGGUAUGGCACCCAGACAAGGACCCCGUAUGUAUCGGACGCGUCGGCGCGUAAUUUUGUCAUAAAAGCAAUCUGUGAGAGUUAUUAUUGAUUGUAGUAUUGAAGAAAUUUUUUCGCACCUAUAAAGAUGGAGAAUAAUACAGGGGCAACAAGGGUUCAGACCCCGCGGUAAUACCCCCACCCCCAGUGGUCCCGGUGAUUAUUGUGCGUAAAAAAUCGGUAUAAAAGGCUACAAGUCAACCUUUAAAUCCACCUCCUUAACAGAUGGGCUGCGGAGGAUACUAUAGGGCUAGGAGGCGGGAGAGGCAAACGGGCUUAAUGGGUAGGGGUAAAAUCCGUUUAUCCAUUGAAGACCACCCAGGGCGAAGGGGGGUUGCCCGAACGCCCUUGCCGGUGAGGGAUGAAAGCUGGGGGAGCAAACCGGAUUAGAUACCCGGGUAGUCCCAGCUGUAAAAGAUGCAGCUUCGGUGAUGAAUAGGCUUCGUGCCUAUUCAGUGCCGCAGGGAAGCCGUUAAGUCUGCCGCUUGGGGAGUAUGGUCGCAAGACUGAAACUUAAAGGAAUUGGCGGGGGAGCACCACAAGGGGUGAAGCCUGCGGUUCAAUUGGAGUCACCGCCGGA
rnacentral:rRNA from 1 species